AUGAUAAACAUGUCUAUAUUUCCCCUUACUAAACACAGGGAGCCCCCCAAAUCGCCAUCACCAUUUGGCUUUCUGCUCUCUUUCCUUUCAUAGGUUUCUCAUGGGGCCACUUGAGAAGAUCUGUAGGUACUCCUGCCUCUGUUCAGAAAUACCUUAUCCACAGCCCAGGUCUAUUGCAAAUAGGUGGAUUUUCUGUCCUGCUGUGACGAAUGCUAUAGGAAGGUCAGGAAACUGAAUUGAAGAUUAGGAAGUGACUUGCCCAAGGAGAUUAUCUAGCAUGUCUAAGAGAGCAACAAGUCACGUCCCGCGGCUCCAGGCCUGCAAUUCCCUAGCAUACCAAUCUCAACCGCAAGACUUUCCCUCCGACCUCACCCAAGUCAAGGGUGGAGGUGGGGCUGCUCUCUGCCCCCUGGGGAGGAGGGAUCUAUGACCAAGUGGGUAAUGUUCUGUCUUGAUUUCUCCAGGUUUCCCCAGAGAGGUAGCAUUCCUAGAUGAUGGGGUACAGAGAGCUCUGAGAUUAGCUUUCAAUGAAGCAUUGCAAAGUUAGAUUUAGGGUAGAAUUAUCCACCCGAGAGUUGCUGGAAUAUUGGUGAAAUAUCACUUCUUGCUAUUUCAUUCAUUCAUCUGGGAUAGGAAAGACAUCUCUUGGGGCUGAUUUAGGUCAGUGGGUUCAACCUUUUUUAGUAUGGAGAGCAUAUUUUAAUCUCUAAAGAACUGCAGAUAAAGAUACACUCUAAGAACACGUUGGUAGAACAAAUACUUAAUAACAGAACCUAUUACCUUUAAGGGAGUUUGAAUGCUAUUAAUUACUGCCUUAUCUAUGUGCAUGCAUGCUAAGUCACUUCACUCAUGUCCAACUCUUUGUGACCCUAUGAAUUGUAACCUGCCAGGCUCCUCUGUCCAUGGGAUUUUUCAGGCAAGAAGACUGGAGUGGGUUGCCAUGCACUCCUCCAGGGGAUCUUCUUGACCCAGGGAUUGAAUCCACUUUUCUUAAGUCUCCUGCAUUGGUAGGCAGGUUCUUUACCACUAGCGCCAUCUAUAUAUGAUCCCAAAUCUGAGUUAUUGCUUUCUUUCUGUGUUUCUGUAACUCUGUCUUCACCACUGGCCUGAACAUGCCAAAGGCCAUACUUGAAUUGCCCCUUGUUCACUAUCUACUGUAUACUCAGCACCUAGCACGGUUCCUGACACAAAGUAUGCGCGUUAUGUAUAUUUGUAGAAUGAAUAAAUGAAUAAUAAUAUCAGGAUCGUUUGACUAAAUAGCAUGAUUCAUGUACAACUAUAGGUGCUGAUUCACACAAAAACAGUGUCCCCAUGGGGUCCUAGGCUCACAGAUUGGAAAUCAUGGAUUUAAAUUUCCAUCCUUGGGUCCAGUAUGUUCUCCAUUUUCCCCUGAGGGAGCUUAGUGUUCAGUAGGCCACAGUGAUUGGUCUGUGGGUUUAGAGACACACGAUAACUAAAAGUGGGAGCAGUUGACAUUCCAAAGGCCACACGAAAAGUCCAUGAAGAAGACAGAACACAGAGCUUAAUCAAGGCUGGGA
ensembl:lncRNA